rnacentral:rRNA from 1 species
UACGGAGGGGGCUAGCGUUGUUCGGAAUUACUGGGCGUAAAGGGCUCGUAGGCGGCCAACUAAGUCGGAUGUGAAAUCCCCAGGCUUAACCUGGGAAUUGCAUCCGAUACUGGAUGGCUUGAAUCCGGGAGAGGGAUGCGGAAUUCCAGGUGUAGCGGUGAAAUGCGUAGAUAUCUGGAGGAACACCGGUGGCGAAGGCGGCAUCCUGGACCGGCAUUGACGCUGAGGAGCGAAAGCCAGGGGAGCAAACGGG